rnacentral:rRNA from 1 species
GACGAACGCUGGCGGCGUGCUUAACACAUGCAAGUCGAACGGAAAGGCCCUGCUUUUGUGGGGUGCUCGAGUGGCGAACGGGUGAGUAACACGUGAGUAACCUGCCCUUGACUUUGGGAUAACUUCAGGAAACUGGGGCUAAUACCGGAUAGGAGCUCCUGCUGCAUGGUGGGGGUUGGAAAGUUUCGGCGGUUGGGGAUGGACUCGCGGCUUAUCAGCUUGUUGGUGGGGUAGUGGCUUACCAAGGCUUUGACGGGUAGCCGGCCUGAGAGGGUGACCGGCCACAUUGGGACUGAGAUACCGCCCAGACUCCUCCGGGAGGCAGCAGUGGGGAAUAUUGCACAAUGGGCCGAAGCCUGAUGAAGUAACGCCGCGUGCGGGAUGACGGCCUUCGGGUUGUAAACCGCUUUCGCCUGUGACGAAGCGUGAGUGACGGUAAUGGGUAAAGAAGCACCGGCUAACUACGUG